AACCCACAAUACACACAUAUAACCCUCUGCCUUACCCUCUCUCUCUCUCUCUCCAUAACAUACACAAACACCUUACCCCUUUCCCCUCUCCACUCGUUUGUGAAUCAGCCGACAACACCCCCCCCCCCCACUUCUCUUCUCUGAUCUCCCCCUAAAUCGGCGACCGAAUGGAGGAGGCGCCGCCGCUCACGGCAGCGGUGGUGGCACACGGUGGCUGAAGCAGAUCGAAGAAAUAUAAGAGAGAGAGGGAGAAGGGAGGAGAGGAGAGAGAGAGAGGAGAACCGGUAGAUGGCGACGAACCGCCGUCUGCGGCAAAGCCGCGGCGGCGCUGAUGGUGGUUGAUUGACGACGGAGCCACGGUGGUGGUUGCACGAUGUUCUGUUGACGUGAAGACAUAGAGGUGAUGACGGCUGACCGGCGUCCGAACCGCCACACACGGCGGAAUGGCGGUGGUCCUCUCAGUCCGACAAGUUCACGAUAGAGUUGAUUGGUGUUGCUGUUGAUGAUGAUUCGGCGGUGGUGGUGGUGGUGGUGGUGGUCGACGACUGCUCGGGGCGGUCGGAGCCACACCGACACCGGAGACACCAGGUGGUGGUGAUGAUUAUGGCAGUCUGAAUUUUUGUUCAGAUUUGAUGCAAGAUCGGGUGCACAUUGGGUCGGUUGGAUCUCGGUCAGGCACGGGUGGUUCGGUUCAGUCAAGUCGGGUCACGGUCCACUAGGUCAGAUUUGGCAUCGGUCUCAAGGCGUGGUACGAGUCAACUCAGCUGCGUUUCGGGUCAAACCCGGUUGACUCGGUCAACACCUGAGUCAACUCGGGUCAACAAAAGUCAACAGAAGUCAAGGAUGGUCAACUCAAAGACCAGGAAUAUUGUAGAACGCAAGCUAGCAAGUCAAGUCUUGGAAACGACAUCACAAAGUCGUAUAUAGCUAGCUUUGCACUGGAAUAUUCAGGUUGCAUUUCAGAAAUUAUGGCACGGUUGGAAUAGGAGGACCAUGUAGAGUCGAGUACUUAGUGGGCGUACAUUUUCUAGAAGACUUAGCUUAUUUGCUUCUGUCACGACCCCUGACCCCAUCCUGGACGAAAUCGGGAGCCGCGAGCAGUCCAGUGGUAUCGUAUUUGUCACUCGACCGGAUCUGUGACUGCGGUCAUAUCACCAUUGGCUGCCCCAAUGAAUGACGUAUAUCACUUAAUUUUAGGUUCGCCCACCUAAAGUGAUAACAACAGUAGUAAUGUGCACAAUACCCCACAUACUGGCUGUAAUUUGGUGAUUACAUAAACUUAAUCACUGUAAUUAUAAUUCUGAAAAUAAUUUGGAGUAUUGUAAAACAGUU
rnacentral:lncRNA from 1 species